CAGUCUCAAGCCACCAUUCCUAUCCAGCAAAUCUUCUAAGACCACUGUCAGCCUGUGCAUUCUAAAAUGAAAUCACGGUCACAGCACUCCAUGGCUUAAAAAGUCCAGUACAUACAUCCUGCCUCUAGGACACAAUUCUUAGUUGCAUGCCUUGCACUAACAGCCCACCCUGAAUAGAUUGCCCUCCACCUUCUUUGUCAGCUUCGUCUCCCACCACCCCUUCUCAUGUAUGGCAUACCCUGGUCAUUUGCCCUGUAUGUGACAAGCUGAGACUCGAAUCAUGCUGUCUAGCUAGAAGGCCCAAUGUGCACAUCUGCCCACUCACCCUCACCUAAUUCUUGUCCCCAAACCCAGCUGCACAUCAGCUUCUCUGUGAGGUCUUUCCUGAGAACAUCCCGAGGUUAGACAAAUCUCUACGACAACUCUCGUUGCAACACAUUAUGGCCACUGCCUUCAAUGUCUAUCUUCCCACCAGAUAAAGAACACUUUGAGUGUGGAGGGCUCUGUCACUAGGACAAAGUACAGAGCAGGUGCUCAUGCAGGUGCUGAAUGGUGCCACCAAACCAGGAUGCUGUACUCUCCUCCAGCAGAAAAGAAGAGGAGAGUCUAAAGGGUCACACAACGGGCAACGCAGUCCCUGUUGUGUUCAGAAUCAGCAGGGCUCAUUCAACCUUGGUCUCAGCAUUCCCCAGCCCUCACUGCUUGGAGCUCUCCUUUGGCUAUCAGCUAUGGUUCAGCACUCUAUCCUAGGCUCCUCCCAAGAAGAAGGCUUCUCACAGGUCCAGAGUCUGUGCUAUCUACUAUCAAGGAGACAUUAGAAAUGGAUGACAGGUGCCAACUGAAUGUUGUAUAUCAAUGGGAACUAUGAUUGAACAUAUGUGUAAAUAAUCAAAACACACACAUAAACAUGAGCUUUUUAUAUUUUUUAUCCCACCAACUGCACUGCAAACUUCUUCAGUGCAUGGAUUAUAUCCUUUCUAUUUCUGAAUGCUUCAAGAGACUGAAGCCUAGAAAUUACUCAGGCAAAUGUGUUCAGUGAUGUGAAGCUGAUCAUAAAAAUAGUUCUAAUAUUUAUUAAGCACUUUCUAUAUGCUAGGCUCUGCUUCAAGUGCUUCAUGCAGUCUAACAGUAAC